GGGAACGGCUGUUUACGAGGGUGGACAGUGAUAGGACAAGGGGGAAUGGUUUUAAACUGAGACAGGGGAGGUUUAGGUUGGAUAUGAGGAGGAAGGUUUUCACCCAGAGGGUGGUGACGCACUGAACAGGUUGCCCAAGGAGGCUGUGGAUGCCCCAUCCCUGCAGGCAUUCAAGGCCAGGCUGGAUGUGGCUCUGGGCAGCCUGGGCUGCUGGUUGGCGACCCUGCACAUAGCAGGGGGUUGGAACUGGAUGAGCACUGUGGUCCUUUUCAACCCAGGCCAUUCUAGGAUUGUGUGAUU
ensembl:lncRNA